AACGAACGCUGGCGGCAUGCCUAACACAUGCAAGUCGAACGAGACCUUCGGGUCUAGUGGCGCACGGGUGCGUAACGCGGGGGAACCUGCCCUUAGGUUCGGAAUAACUCCCCGAAAGGGGUGCUAAGACCGGAUAAUGUCUUCGGACCAAAGAUUUAUCGCGGUUGGAUGGGCCCGCGUUGGAUUAGCUAGUUGGUAGGGUAAAAGCCUACCAAGGCGACGAUGCAUAGCUGGUCGGAGAGGAUGAUCAGCCACACUGGGACUGAGACACGGCCCAGACUCGUACGGGAGGGAGCAGUGGGGAAUAUUGGACAAGGGGCGAAAGCCUGAUCCAGCAAUGCCGCGUGAGUGAUGAAGGCCUUAGGGUUGUAAAGCUCUUUUACCCGGGAUGAUAAUGACAGUACCGGGAGAAUAAGCUCCGGCUAACUACGUG
rnacentral:rRNA from 1 species